GGGGUAUUUGUUGCUUCAUGGACAGGAGUGGUCAAAUAUCAUGGACCUCGACCAAGCAUGCGUCCUCAGCAGGUAUUUGUUGCCAAUCACACUUCUAUGAUUGAUUUCAUCAUCUUAGAGCAGAUGACUGCGUUUGCUGUUAUCAUGCAAAAGCACCCUGGAUGGGUUGGAUUUAUUCAGACGACCAUUUUGGAAAGCGUAGGCUGU
rnacentral:misc_RNA from 1 species